rnacentral:lncRNA from 1 species
UCUGCCUCCUAAGCGUUUAAACACAUAAAUGCGAAGCGGCCUGGUAUUUACCUCAUCUUCCCUAAACAUAGCUUGUUCCAUAUUAGUGAGCACUUCGGGCUCGGAAGUUUCUAGUUGUGGCCUUGGAAGAGACAUUUUGAGCAUGUCACUCUCAUUUUGAACUGUGAGGCCAGCAUUACUUUUCUUCCCUUUUCGGCCUUUGAGUUUUAUCUUUAGUGGAGCAGAUGUUGUUUCUGGCAAUGAUGCCUUUUUGUGGACGACUACUCAUUUAC